GACGAACGCUGGCGGCGUGCUUAACACAUGCAAGUCGAACGGAAAGGCCCUGCUUUUGUGGGGUGCUCGAGUGGCGAACGGGUGAGUAACACGUGAGUAACCUGCCCUUGACUUUGGGAUAACUUCAGGAAACUGGGGCUAAUACCGGAUAGGAGCUCCUGCUGCAUGGUUGGGGUUGGAAAGUUUCGGCGGUUGGGGAUGGACUCGCGGCUUAUCAGUUUGUUGGUGGGGUAGUGGCUUACCAAGGCUUUGACGGGUAGCCGGCCUGAGAGGGUGACCGGCCACAUUGGGACUGAGAUACGGCCCAGACUCCUACGGGAGGCAGCAGUGGGGAAUAUUGCACAAUGGGCGGAAGCCUGAUGCAGCAACGCCGCGUGCGGGAUGACGGCCUUCGGGUUGUAAACCGCCUUCGCCUGUGACGAAGCGUGAGUGACGGUAAUGGGUAAAGAAGCACCGGCUAACUACGUG
rnacentral:rRNA from 1 species